CAUAAUCUCUGAGGAGAAAAGCAGGGGAUCGCAAGACCUUGCGCUUUUGGAGCGGCCGAUGUCUGAUUAGCUAGUUGGUGAGGUAAAGGCUUACCAAGGCUUCGAUCAGUAGCUGGUCUGAGAGGACGACCAGCCACACUGGGACUGAGACACGGCCCAGACUCCUACGGGAGGCAGCAGUGGGGAAUUUUGGACAAUGGGGGCAACCCUGAUCCAGCCAUGCCGCGUGAGUGAAGAAGGCCUUCGGGUUGUAAAGCUCUUUCAGUCGGAACGAAACGGUCACGGUUAAUAACUGUGAUCACUGACGGUACCGGAAGAAGAAG
rnacentral:rRNA from 1 species